UCAUCCAAUAUUUUCACAGGCGAAUCAAUUUCUGAAACAUUUCUCACAUUCUUAAUUCGUUGUUUUCACAUUCAUCGGUUCAAAGAGCAUUUUUCUGGGCAUUUUCCAGACUCUCAAAAUCAACGAAACACGGAGAAUCUGAUUGCUCAUUUUAGAGUGCACGGGGUGUUGAAGCAAAGUUGAUUGUUCAUGAUUUCAUACUUGACGCCGUGCACGGGGUGGUGCUGAUGGAAAGAGUGCAUUUUCCUGCAGGGGCAGUUUUGGGUGUUGAAGCUAGUCUCCGGGUUCGGGAUUAGCCGGGAGAGAGCGGCUGAUCGGAGGGAUGCUCGAUCAGGCGAAGCUAGACGACUUGCUGGUGUUCGGCGGCGGAGGCGGAGACGGAGGCGGAGUGUAUGAUGUGAAUUUGGUGGUGAGGUUGAUCAGAUUGUUCGUGUAUGAUAACAUGUCAAUGGAGAGGAUGGUGAAAGUAGGGUUUCUGAUUGAUAUGUAUUUGGGGGAGAUUGGGCCUGAUCCUACCCUCAGAUUCACUAAGUUUCUUGCUGUUGCUGAGAGUUUGUCUGAUUGUGCAAGGGAUUCUUUUGAUCAAGUUUAUAGAGCAAUUGAUAUAUAUCUUCAGAUAUAGAAUCGUCUCCUAGCAAUGAAGUCGUGGUACCAGGCUACUAAGAAGCGCAACACAGUUAAGGUAUCUAUGAAGAUAAGGCAGUCGGAACGGGUUAGGAAUUUGGCAGCUCCUGUGAAGAUGGGUGGUUCGAAAGAUCAGUCCAUCGAGCACGAAUUGGUAAAACAUAAAACUAUUAGGAUGGGUUAGCAAGUGUUGAUGGUUUCAAUGCCAACAUGACGUUGAUUGGUUAUUGAACUACUACGCAUUUUAUUAUUAUAGUUAUGGAUUUUGUCAAUAUAUUUUGACAUGUUUGCGUAUAAAAGGUUUUUAACCUUUUUAUGAUGAAUGUAACGGGAAACUUAUUUGUGAUGAACUGUGGGUUGGUAUGAACAUGUUGAACGAACAUACCUAUAAAAUGUUAAA